rnacentral:rRNA from 1 species
GACGAACGCUGGCGGCGUGCCUAAUACAUGCAAGUCGAGCGAAGUUUUUCUGGUGCUUGCACUAGAAAAACUUAGCGGCGAACGGGUGAGUAACACGUAAAGAACCUGCCUCAUAGACUGGGACAACUUUGGAAACGAUAGCUAAUACCGGAUAACAGUAUUUCUCGCAUGAGAGAUAUUUAAAAGUUGGUUAUGCUAACACUAUGAGAUGGCUUUGCGGUGCAUUAGCUAGUUGGUGGGGUAAAGGCCCACCAAGGCGACGAUGCAUAGCCGACCUGAGAGGGUGAUCGGCCACACUGGGACUGAGACACGGCCCAGACUCCUACGGGAGGCAGCAGUAGGGAAUCUUCCGCAAUGGGCGAAAGCCUGACGGAGCAACGCCGCGUGAGUGAAGAAGGAUUUCGGUUCGUAAAGCUCUGUUGUUAGGGAAGAAUGGAUAUGUAGUAACUAUACAUGUAAGAGACGGUACCUAACCAGAAAGCCACGGCUAACUACGUG